rnacentral:rRNA from 1 species
UGCAGUCGAACGGCAGCACGGGAGCAAUCCUGGUGGCGAGUGGCGAACGGGUGAGUAAUACAUCGGAACGUGUCCUGGAGUGGGGGAUAGCCCGGCGAAAGCCGGAUUAAUACCGCAUACGCUCUGUGGAGGAAAGCGGGGGAUCUUUCGGGACCUCGCGCUCAAGGGGCGGCCGAUGGCAGAUUAGCUAGUUGGUGGGGUAAAGGCCUACCAAGGCGACGAUCUGUAGCUGGUCUGAGAGGACGACCAGCCACACUGGGACUGAGACACGGCCCAGACUCCUACGGGAGGCAGCAGUGGGGAAUUUUGGACAAUGGGCGCAAGCCUGAUCCAGCAAUGCCGCGUGUGUGAAGAAGGCCUUCGGGUUGUAAAGCACUUUUGUCCGGAAAGAAAACCUCUGGGUUAAUACCCCGGGGGGAUGACGGUACCGGAAGAAUAAGCACCGGCUAACUACGUGCCAGCAGCCGCGGUAAUACGUAGGGUGCGAGCGUUAAUCGGAAUUACUGGGCGUAAAGCGUGCGCAGGCGGUUCGUUAAGACAGAUGUGAAAUCCCCGGGCUUAACCUGGGAACUGCAUUUGUGACUGGCGGGCUAGAGUAUGGCAGAGGGGGGUAGAAUUCCACGUGUAGCAGUGAAAUGCGUAGAGAUGUGGAGGAAUACCGAUGGCGAAGGCAGCCCCCUGGGCCAAUACUGACGCUCAUGCACGAAAGCGUGGGGAGCAAACAGGAUUAGAUACCCUGGUAGUCCACGCCCUAAACGAUGUCAACUAGUUGUUGGGGAUUCAUUUCCUUAGUAACGUAGCUAACGCGUGAAGUUGACCGCCUGGGGAGUACGGUC